rnacentral:rRNA from 1 species
AUUGAACGCUGGCGGCAGGCCUAACACAUGCAAGUCGAGCGGAGCGGCGGACGGGUGAGUAAUGCCUAGGAAUCUGCCUGGUAGUGGGGAUAACGUCCGGAAACGGGCGCUAAUACCGACUGCCAUCAGAUGCGCCUAGGUCGGAUUAGCUAGUUGGUGGGGUAAAGGCCUACCAAGGCGACGAUCCGUAACUGGGCUGAGAGGAUGAUCAGUCAAACUGGAACUGAGACACGGUCCAGACUCCUACGGGAGGCAGCAGUGGGGAAUAUUGGACAAUGGGCGAAAGCCUGAUCCAGCCAUGCCGCGUGUGUGAAGAAGGUCUUCGGAUUGUAAAGCACUUUAAGUUGGGAGGCGUUACCAACAGAAUAAGCACCGGCUAACUUCGUGCCAGCCGCCGCGGUAAUAC